GUAUUUUGCGAUUGAUCCACAGGAAAUAGACGCAGCUGCGUGGAUCGCCUUCUCCACCCCACAUACUGAAGCCAGAAUAAGCCACGACUUCGUGUGCUCCACGCGAGGGCCGCCUGACGCCAGAGUUUCUCCCGCAUCUGCCAUCAGAGGACCGUCGCCCUCAGGAGCCCGAGCUCCCGCGGUACUCUGGGAAGGCUUCAGAGCAGUAGUGCAUAGUGUAUGGAUACUACCCGCCCCCGAGCCUAGCAAAUUGCCUGGUGAGCGGCCAUCCUGGAUAAAUGGUGAAUGAUGACAUCCCAGUGGUCACUUCCACACACCACAGGUUUGACCCCUAAGUAUGUCUUCCAUAUGGGUUGUUUCAUAUGCGGUUAACACCCUGAUCAAUGCAGCUUUCCUGAUGGAAUCCAGCUGUGUUUUGGUGUCAACUCCCAUGAAAAAUUGGGUGUCUUAUUGCAUAACCAACACUGUUAAAUGGAGGAAGGUCAUAGGAAGAGGGAGCAUGUGUUUGUGGGAUAGGGAGUCCUCUUUAAGUGAGAAGCUUGGGAGGUUAGGAGUGGAAGGUUGUAGCUAGUUGAGGUGAAGAGUUUACAUGUUCUUUUUGGCUUUCUGGGGCUUAAGAAAAAAACCAGGAGAGAUAAAGGGACAAAAAAGGCCAGGCACUUAAGAAGAGUAAAGUGCUGGAGAAAAACUGUAAAAAAGGAAAACUUAAAUUAAAA
rnacentral:lncRNA from 1 species